UACGGAAGGCAGCAGUGGGGAAUAUUGCACAAUGGGCGCAAGCCUGAUGCAGCCAUGCCGCGUGUAUGAAGAAGGCCUUCGGGUUGUAAAGUACUUUCAGUCGUGAGGAAGGUGUUAAGGUUAAUAACCUUAGCAAUUGACGUUAGCGACAGAAGAAGCACCGGCUAACUCCGUGCCAGCAGCCGCGGUAAUACGGAGGGUGCGAGCGUUAAUCGGAAUUACUGGGCGUAAAGGGCACGCAGGCGGUUAAUUAAGUUGGAUGUGAAAUCCCCGGGCUUAACCUGGGAAUGGCAUUCAAGACUGGUUAGCUAGAGUCUUGUAGAGGGGGUAGAAUUCCAUGUGUAGCGGUGAAAUGCGUAGAGAUGUGGAGGAAUACCGGUGGCGAAGGCGGCCCCCGGACAAAGACUGACGCUCAUGUGCGAAAGCGUGGGGAGCGAAACAGGGAUUAGAU
rnacentral:rRNA from 1 species